GCAGCGCUUUAUGGCAGGCCACCCCUGUCUUGACACCGUAUGGCUUUUUCUGUGCAAGUGAACAUUCAUCUCCUGAGUGCUGGAUUUUAGGCACCAUUGCAGAUCCUCAUUUUUUUGUCAGAUUUUGUUCCCUUCUUUAAUAUAAUCAUCCACUUUUUAUGGACUGACAUCCCAAUACAUAAAAUCCUUUGAACAAGAAAUAGAUAUUGGUUUGUUUAUGCACCUGAAUGUAUAAAGGUCUCAGGUCUGACUCAUAUCCCCAUGUCCCACUGGUAAGGAGAGAGUGUGGUAAAUUAGGCUAGUUGACAUUUACCAGGAAAAGACGGAUUCAAAGAGGAUAACACAAUGAUAUUUCAUGGGAACCUAGCUCAUUUUAUGGUAACUAAGUCAUAAAAUCAAUAUGUAAAAUCCUUUCAGAAAUUAAAAACACGUUGAUUUAAGGGACGUUCGGCUGGCUGUGCUUCCUUGCCGAUAGCAUGGCCCUGGAAUGUACAGAAGAAAAUGAAAAUGCAACUAAUAUGAAAAUGGAAAAAAGAUGGGCUUGAGAACACAGAACUAUUGUUUCACCUUUUGCCUGAGAAUUGCCCAAGGUGUGGCGUGGAUGGCCUCUGUAACUAGUCUUCCAUGUGUCCUGCAGUGAACUGGAUGCAUUGUGAAAGGCUAUAGCUGUGCUUUCCCGUGCCUAAGGGUUCAUCUGCACACCAUCACCUGCCCCAACAAGGGACUUUUGAAAUAAAGGAAUAUGAGGGACAUACCACUGGAACCGGGAGCCUCAAGUCUUCAGCCAUCUAUAUUGCAUUGUCCACCCAGUGUUCCUAGGUUUCCAGAGGUCUGAUUCUAUCUCGAUGCGAAGGAUGCAGAGCACGCCGACGCUCAGGUGAUGUUGGCGUGCUUGGAGGCAGCUGUUUGUGGACCACAGUGUUCUAGCAGCUCCAGUCCACAGCUGCUGUGCACAGUGACAGGAUUCUAACAGCACAAUGAAACUUCAAAACAAAGCAGUGGACUCUAGCAGUAUUUCUGUUGUGAAGACAGGACCAUGAGACCGGGAGAAAGUCCAGAAAAUGAAGAUUUGGGAUCAAGCAACUCACCCUUGUGAUUGCCCAAGAGUGAUUAAUUUCACUUUCAGUGCCUUCCUUCCCGAGCCAGAGUGCUUCUGUGGAGACCCCUAAUUCAGUGAAACCUGUUUAGGGGAUCAUCCCAGCUAGACAGACAGCUGCGCGGGCAUUCGCUUCCCAGCAUGGAUUUCAGAUUAUGGCCGAUCAAGGGCCAGAGCUAAGGAACACCUGUCAACGACGUCGCUACAAGGAGACCAGCUCUUUAAUCGACUUUCAUUGUACUUGAGAAAAAGGUUUAUUUUAAAUGUGGCGUCUGCUUUUAUGAUUCAUCCUUCUCAGCUGAGACAUCAAUUUGGGGCUUAUUUAUGAUAUUGUUCUAGGGUGAAACAAGAAACUGCAAGAAAAUAUUUCAAAAAGGCAGCCUUUCCCAGACAAUCAAUUUGCAGCUUUCUCAUGUGGAAAAAUAAAAGAGAAAUCUAAAACUUUAGUUUUGAGCAUUUGUAUGUGAAUAUAAUUAGUGAUAGGGAUUCUUCGUUGCACACUUUCAGAA